rnacentral:misc_RNA from 1 species
CAUUACGCAUCUUGCAAACCUGUUUACUCUAUUGUUGCUUAGGAGGCGCCCCUCGGGAGGGGAUUUGCUCCGGCCGCCUCCGACAGCACCCAAACUACUUUUUGUGUCUUUCUGAGAACAAGAAACAUU